rnacentral:tRNA from 1 species
AGCUUUAUAGUUAAAUAAUGAUAAUAUAAAAUUGCAAAUUUUAAGAUGAAAAUUUCUUCUAAGGCUU